rnacentral:rRNA from 1 species
UACGUAGGGUGCAAGCGUUAUCCGGAAUUACUGGGCGUAAAGGGCGCGUAGGCGGCCUUCUAAGUCAGACGUGAAAUCCCCCGGCUUAACCUGGGAACUGCGUCUGAUACUGGGAGGCUAGAGUGCGGGAGAGGGAUGCGGAAUUCCAGGUGUAGCGGUGAAAUGCGUAGAUAUCUGGAGGAACACCGGUGGCGAAGGCGGCAUCCUGGACCGACACUGACGCUGAGGCGCGAAAGCUAGGGUAGCAAACGGG